UGUUUUUUUAUUUUCUAAACACUAUUUUGAUUUCCACAUGCACUUUUAUCAGUUGAAUCAAAUUUAAAAAUUUUCCACGAAGGAAAUCUAGUAUGAGUUAAAGAUAUGCAUUUUAAUUUUUUUUUUUUUUUAAAGUAAAUUCAAUUUUCCUUUAACUUUUUAGAUCUUAAACUUAUUACAGAAAUUAAUAUGUUUCUAGUGUAUGGUAGAAAGUAAAUCAAGUACACUGAAAGGAAAAAUGUGGCCACCUUAGAAUUUUUACUUUUUUGUUUACUUGAAUAUAACACAAUUUUAUUAUAAUUUUUAAAGACGUGACUUUAAUGACUUUCCUAACACUUCACUUAUCUUUAAAUCAUUUUUUAAAAUACUUUGCCAGCAGUUCUUUGUCUCUUUGCUUUUUCGCUGUCACAAUUUUGGAAAAAGUUUUGCCACCCACAGAUUUAGUGAUAUUUUAGCGUUUUAUUAAUAAUUGAUAGUUAGGGAUGGGAAUAAGGGUUGAAUUUUGUAUUUUAAACUAAAUACUCAAAUCAGAAUACAGAAAAAAUACAUUAACAAUGAUUUUAAGCAUUUAAUUUAAAAUAUAAAGGCCACUUUUUUCCGACCAGGGAUUUUGGCUAUAAAGAUUUUAAAGUAUUUGUGUACUAAUAAUCUACAUAAGUCUGAUGCAUUUAUUGUUUGUACUACAUGUCAUUAUUCACAUUGUCACACUAAUUAUUAUGUUAAAAUAUUAAAAAAUGUUAAUUUAAUAUAUUUUUGCUUUAUUUUUUGUCCCCGUCAAAAUGAUUAGAUCGUCCAAUUUCACUAUUUUUUCCAUUUGCCUGUAGGAAGUAAAUUUCAUUCGAAAUUCCUCCUUGUAUAAUUGUAUAUUAUGGGACUCUUAUUUAAUUAUCUGAUUUUGCAAAGAAACAUGCAUGUGAAUUUUCAGAUUGUUGUUUAUUGUGACCACCAAAUUAACCACCAAAUGGCAUAUUUGUCCAUAUAAAUAAAAAUAAUUUCAUUAAGAUCUGUAUAUCUUUAUGCUCAAAGGUGUUCUUUCUUAUCUCGACCAACUGACUUAACUUUCCCUGACUUUAUGCCUGUGUAUUUCUUCAUGAACAGAAAAAUUCAGAAUCGUCAUUUUUCAAAUUAGAAUGUUAUCAGUCAAAAAGGAACAAUAAAGACGUUUAACAAGUUAUAAUCAGUACAACUCUACUAAUUGUGUGCUGUUGGAGAUAGUGAAUAUCAUAACUCAUACAAAUAUUUUUGACUAUUCGAAAUUAAUGAAGCAUUGAGAAAUUCAUGGGAGGCGUAGAAUAGAAGAAAGAUGUGGAAUUAAUACCAACUCGUUUACGGCACUCGGCCUUUCAGACAAGUUCAAAAGAACGGUAACGCUAGAUGAUGUCUAUUCAAAACAAGAGCAAAUUGUUGAGGGACUCUGCUGGCUUGCCCGGCAAGUUGAAAAACUCAAAGAAGAUCAAUCAUUUCUUAAGGAUAGUGUCAUCUCAUCGCCUAAGGAAAGCAAACAGAAGCGAGAUGCUAGCUCAAGCUCACGAAAACAAGAACCUACACCAAAAAGUUCGCUAAAGGAUAAUGAAAUAUAAAUGUUUAAAACAAUA